GUCUUAGUGGCGGACGGGUGAGUAACGCGUGGGCAACCUGCCCUGUACCGGGGGAUAACACUUAGAAAUAGGUGCUAAUACCGCAUAAUAGGGAAUACCGCAUGGUAAUCCUUUGAAAACUCCGGUGGUACAGGAUGGGCCCGCGUCUGAUUAGCCAGUUGGCGGGGUAACGGCCCACCAAAGCGACGAUCAGCAGCCGGCCUGAGAGGGUGGACGGCCACACUGGGACUGAGACACGGCCCAGACUCCUACGGAAGGCAGCAG
rnacentral:rRNA from 1 species